rnacentral:rRNA from 1 species
CAACCCUGAUCCAGCCAUGCCGCGUGAGUGAAGAAGGCCUUCGGGUUGUAAAGCUCUUUCGGCCGGGAAGAAAUCGUGCAGGCUAAUACCCUGUAUGGAUGACGGUACCGGAAUAAGAAGCACCGGCUAACUACGUGCCAGCAGCCGCGGUAAUACGAAGGGGGCUAGCGUUGUUCGGAAUUACUGGGCGUAAAGCGCACGUAGGCGGAUCGAUCAGUUAGGGGUGAAAUCCCAGGGCUCAACCCUGGAACUGCCUCUAAUACUGUCGAUCUCGAGUUCGAGAGAGGUGAGUGGAAUUCCGAGUGUAGAGGUGAAAUUCGUAGAUAUUCGGAGGAACACCAGUGGCGAAGGCGGCUCACUGGCUCGAUACUGACGCUGAGGUGCGAAAGCGUGGGGAGCAAACA